rnacentral:tRNA from 1 species
GCCGUGGUGGUCUAGUGGUUAUGGUGCUCGACUGCUGACCCGGAGGUCGCGGGUUCGAAUCCCGCCCGCGGCG